UGUAUCCGAAUAUAAUAAGCGGAUUCAGUGUAGGAUUAUUAAUAAAUCUUACAUCACCUCCACCAGGCGCCCAUGUAUCAUAAACACCGCCAACAAAUAAAGCUUUUAUAACUAAUAAGAAAGAACCUAUACCAAGUAGAAUUAAAUGAAUUCCUAGUAUAGUAGUCAUUUUAUUCUUAUCUCUCCA
rnacentral:antisense_RNA from 9 species